UUUUCCCUAAUUUGAUUCCCCUCCCAAAAUCCAUAUACUUCACAUAUUCACUAAUAAACCCUAUCUCAUCUGAUACUUUAAACCUUCACGAUUGAUGAUUCCCCUCUCAAAUAAACCCUAAUAAACCCAUCAAUCUAUCAUCUCAUGAUUUCCAUCUGCAGGAUUUGUUAGAUCGACCCCGUGAUAAUCACCGCACAUCUUCGUCGUGAAAUCCAUCAACGACUGUAUAUAUGAUUUCAGGUGGAUAGCAAAUUGUGAUGUAGUGAAGCCAAAAGUUGUUGCAGCUGAACACAUAUCUCAGUUCAACGAGGAAGCACACUCUUCGUUUGUAAAGAAGUAGAACAUGUUGUAACAUCAAAUAUUUAAGGUGCUUAUAGGACAUGUUGUCAAUGCAGAAUUCGCUCUUAUAAUUUGCCCAACUGAACCUUAUGUACUCUUUGGAGGUUAGGAGAUUUUAAAUUAUACCGAUAAUGUAUAUAGGCUACCUAAGUAGGUUAAAGACUUCAUUAAGGCUUGUGUCGCAUAUAGAGUUGUAAAAAUGACAAUACUGACCGUGAAACAACCAACUUUUGAUAGAUGAAAGGGCGUUAUUAGCAUGUUACAACUCUUAAACUGACAAGCUUUGAAAUUUAUGGACAUUUUACAGUUUUUUGGCAAUUCAUUUGCCUGGUUAUAAAGUAUACCUCAAAAGUGGUUUUUAUUGAAAACUUUUGACUUAUGCGUAUAUUACCCAUUUGCCCUAGUUUAUGUUAAUAGUUGGUUGACUAAUCUUAUUAGUUAACAUUUGAACCAUUAUUAUAAUGUAAUUUGAAUAUCUUAUUACAGGGAAGGAUAAAUGUGAUUUUAUGGAGCAUUCAUGACCAUAUAUUUACAUCAGUUUUAUUACAGCUGGUGUGAUGCUGAUUUAAUGACUUCCACAGUUCCACAUAAUAGGAAGAUAUAAAACAAAAUCUCUUAAAUCUAGGGGUGCAAACGGGUCGAGCUACCUAAGCUCGGCUUGGAAAAAAGCUCAAAACAAGCUGAGCUUAAACGAGAUCGAGCCUGAGCCCGAGCCUAAAACCAAGCUCGUUUAGAUUUGUUUUGGUUUUUGCUUGUGAUGCAUUUUGGAUUUGUUUGCCAUUCGUCGUUUAUACCUAAAUUAUGCAAUGCAUGAAGUAGCUACCGCUGAAACUUAGGAUAGGAUAGUUUAUACUGUUUAUUUCUUAUUGGCCUUUUAUCUUUGAAUCUAUAUCUACCUGACUUCAUUUUUGUGGAGUUCUUUAAUUUUCAUGAUCAUUGCCACCAUUGGCCCAACUAGUUUACUGUGGGUACUUUUGAUUCUUUUGAUUUAUCCUGCAGGUUGAUCCAAAAUUUGAUUUGGAUAUUAAUUAAGAUGAUGCGGAAGACGAGUGUUCCAACUAUAGAAGGGUCAAGCAUAUAUAUGUUGACAAGUAUGUGUUCAAGCCCUUUAUCUCAGUCUACUAGGAUGAACAUCUGUUAGAUGUGCAAAUUACCUUCACAUGGGGUCUACAAAUAGCAUGAAUAAAACACUUGGGAAGAUUUUACAACAUCAGAACUAGUCACCAGUUACAAGUUUACUCCUCACCACAACAGCGGUAAUGUGGCCACGAACCCAUGGAUGCAAAUUUGCAUCACUUUUAGGUCUAAAACAGCGAGUAUAUGGACUUGAAGAAAACAGUCUGGAAAUAGUUUCUAGUUUAUGUGUAAAGUCAUUUUUCUAACAUUUGUAGAUAGGCCGGUUUUGAUUAGAAGUUAAUGUUUUUAGUUAGUAUUAGUAUCUAAAUUGAAAACUUAUGUAUGGAUUUUGGGUUAUUAUUGUUAAUAGCAUUUGGUUUU